AUGCUACUCCCCAGCCUGCUGAGAGCAGUGAUAGCCUCCCUCUGCCUUGGAUCCAGCAUGACACAGAAGGUAACUCAAGCCCAGUCUGCCAUCUCUACACUGGAGAAUGAGACUGUGACCUUGGAUUGUGUAUACGAAGUUAGUGGUUUGACUUAUUAUUUAUUCUGGUACAAACAACCACCAAGUGGGGAAAUGAUUUUCCUUAUUCAUCAGGAGUCAUACAUGGAGCAGAAUGCAACAGAGGGUCGGUAUUCUCUGAACUUGCAGAAAUCAGACCAUUCCAUCAACCUCACCAUCACAGCAUUACAGCUUGCGGACUCAGCAGUGUAUUUCUGUGCUCUGAGAGACAACACAGUGAUGCAGCACCAGAGGGAGGCUCACAAAAACCUCAGAUCUCCACAGGAGGCAUCCCCCAGCUCUGAACACCUGGGGAGUGGCGAGUGGAAGGAAGAAGCAGGGGCUGCACUUAUGGGGGUGGGGAUUCUGAGGUGGAUGCUUCACUGGAAGGAAAAUGCUAUUUCCCUGGCUCAGAGAGCAUAUCAAACAGUGUCAUUCAACAAAAGCAUCUUUAUCUUCAAUUCUUUACUUUGCAAUAGAUCAUUUAGCAACAGAUUAAAAGGAAUUUGUUGGUGA